rnacentral:rRNA from 1 species
UAACAGGAUGCCAAUCUCGAAACCCGUUCACAGUUCGGAUUGGGUUCUGCAACUGGACCUUAUGAAGCUGGAAUCGUUAGUAAUCGCGUAUCAGCAAUGACGCGGUGAAUACGUUCCCGGACUUUGUACACACCGCCCGUCAAGCCAUGAAAGUCUGGUAGACCUGAAGCUG